rnacentral:rRNA from 1 species
UAGAGUUUGAUCCUGGCUCAGAUUGAACGCUGGCGGCAUGCCUUACACAUGCAAGUCGAACGGUAACAGGUCUUCGGACGCUGACGAGUGGCGAACGGGUGAGUAAUACAUCGGAACGUGCCCAGUCGUGGGGGAUAACUACUCGAAAGAGUAGCUAAUACCGCAUACGAUCUGAGGAUGAAAGCGGGGGACCUUCGGGCCUCGCGCGAUUGGAGCGGCCGAUGGCAGAUUAGGUAGUUGGUGGGAUAAAAGCUUACCAAGCCGACGAUCUGUAGCUGGUCUGAGAGGACGACCAGCCACACUGGGACUGAGACACGGCCCAGACUCCUACGGGAGGCAGCAGUGGGGAAUUUUGGACAAUGGGCGAAAGCCUGGUCCAGCAAUGCCGCGUGCAGGAUGAAGGCCUUCGGGUUGUAAACUGCUUUUGUACGGAACGAAAAAGCUCCUUCUAAUACAGGGGGCCCAUGACGGUACCGUAAGAAUAAGCACCGGCUAACUACGUGCCAGCAGCCGCGGUAAUA